rnacentral:snoRNA from 8 species
GUGGCUUUAACAUCUUAACUAGAAUCAUGCUUUGAAUGAUUAACAUGUGAAGCAUUGUUGUGUAUGUUUUAGCCUACAGUGAACAUAGUUCCCCUCGCUAUCCUGUUCAUCAAUUUAAAUGAUGUUACUUAGGACGUCGGGGAACAAUAUGU